GAUGAACGCUGGCGGCGUGCCUAAUACAUGCAAGUCGAGCGAACGGACGAGAAGCUUGCUUCUCUGAUGUUAGCGGCGGACGGGUGAGUAACACGUGGAUAACCUACCUAUAAGACUGGGAUAACUUCGGGAAACCGUAGCUAAUACCGGAUAAUAUUUUGAACCGCAUGGUUCAAAAGUGAAAGACGGUCUUGCUGUCACUUAUAGAUGGAUCCGCGCUGCAUUAGCUAGUUGGUAAGGUAACGGCUUACCAAGGCAACGAUGCAUAGCCGACCUGAGAGGGUGAUCGGCCACACUGGAACUGAGGCACGGUCCAGACUCCUACGGGAGGCAGCAGUAGGGAAUCUUCCGCAAUGGGCGAAUGCCUGACGGAGCAACGCCGCGUGAGUGAUGAAGGUCUUCGGAUCGUAAAACUCUGUUAUUAGGGAAGAACAUAUGUGUAAGUAACUGUGCACAUCUUGACGGUACCUAAUCAGAAAGCCACGGCUAACUACGUGCCAGCAGCCGCGGUAAUACGUAGGUGGCAAGCGUUAUCCGGAAUUAUUGGGCGUAAAGCGCGCGUAGGCGGUUUUUUAAGUCUGAUGUGAAAGCCCACGGCUCAACCGUGGAGGGUCAUUGGAAACUGGAAAACUUGAGUGCAGAAGAGGAAAGUGGAAUUCCAUGUGUAGCGGUGAAAUGCGCAGAGAUAUGGAGGAACACCAGUGGCGAAGGCGACUUUCUGGUCUGUAACUGACGCUGAUGUGCGAAAGCGUGGGGAUCAAACAGGAUUAGAUACCCUGGUAGUCCACGCCGUAAACGAUGAGUGCUAAGUGUUAGGGGGUUUCCGCCCCUUAGUGCUGCAGCUAACGCAUUAAGCACUCCGCCUGGGGAGUACGACCGCAAGGUUGAAACUCAAAGGAAUUGACGGGGACCCGCACAAGCGGUGGAGCAUGUGGUUUAAUUCGAAGCAACGCGAAGAACCUUACCAAAUCUUGACAUCCUUUGACAACUCUAGAGAUAGAGCCUUCCCCUUCGGGGGACAAAGUGACAGGUGGUGCAUGGUUGUCGUCAGCUCGUGUCGUGAGAUGUUGGGUUAAGUCCCGCAACGAGCGCAACCCUUAAGCUUAGUUGCCAUCAUUAAGUUGGGCACUCUAAGUUGACUGCCGGUGACAAACCGGAGGAAGGUGGGGAUGACGUCAAAUCAUCAUGCCCCUUAUGAUUUGGGCUACACACGUGCUACAAUGGACAAUACAAAGGGCAGCGAAACCGCGAGGUCAAGCAAAUCCCAUAAAGUUGUUCUCAGUUCGGAUUGUAGUCUGCAACUCGACUACAUGAAGCUGGAAUCGCUAGUAAUCGUAGAUCAGCAUGCUACGGUGAAUACGUUCCCGGGUCU
rnacentral:rRNA from 1 species